AUUUUGCCGUUAUCACAUUAAAGAGUCAUCAAAAAUAUGGAGGUGUGGUAAAAAUUGCCAUGUAAUGAGACAUACAAAUGUAUAUCUAUCAGACUGAAAAUUACGUAGACGUAAAUAACUAUAAACUAACAAAUGUCGUCGUAAGGCCUUCAACAAUAGUCAAAACCGUUGCCGCAAAGCCAGCUAUAAAAACAGUCCUCUUCCUUAUCUUUUUGUAUUUCUGUUUGCACACCUUGUCUAUUCCACAUGGGAAAGGAAGAUGUAUUCAUAUAUCGUGUCUUUUGCAUAUUUUGUGCGUUUUUAUAAAAAAAAAAUUAAAGCAAAACAGUUUCAAUCGAAUAACACCCAUCCUUUCUCUUGAUUUAACAACGAAAACGGGCGAACUGAUUUUACCGUCUUGGAAUAAUCCAUAACAGGGUGAAAUUCAAUACUAAAUACUAAUGCAUUUUAAUGCAAGUAAAAUGCAAGACUUAGUGUGGUUGAUAUCGAUAACGGACAAGCAGCCCAAAAAGAAAAAUAGAUAUACAUAUAAGUAAAGUAUACAAUAAGUUGGAUCAAUUAUAUAUACGGACAGAAAUUAAUAAAAAAAAAAACAUAGCAAGUUAAUGCAUUCACUAUAAAUUAAUGCUGAUGAAGCAUUGAUCUUUAAGACUCCGUCACCAUAUGGUAAAAAAAGUGAUGACACGAACGUCUAUCGCCGGCGGGAGAUACCGUAUCUGUUUUUAUGUAUUUUAGAAGCUAAUUAGAAUCACGGUAACAUCUGCAAUAAUUGAAUGUUUUUAAAAAUCGUGUUCUAUGUAUCGGCG
rnacentral:lncRNA from 1 species